CCAGCAAAGCCUCUUGGAUCAAAAAAGCCUGCGCAAAGCUAUUUGGGGAUUUCAAAUAAAUCACUGACUAGUGACUGGUACGUAUGGUAGCAUACAAACUAACAGAUUGGCACAUUUUAUCAUAAAUUUACGAAGAAAGUUAUUACACAACAGUAAAACAAACUUGAUAUUAGUUCCAAAGCAGUUUCGCGUUGCCAUACCCAGCCUGGAUCUCGACGAGGAUAGUCCCAACGGAACCUGGGAAAGUCUUAACAGAAGUCUUUACAGAAGUUAUAACAGUUCACUCACCACCUCCAUUCUUGUAGCAGAGGGUUUCAGCGGGGCCACUGAUGACAGCUUGUGGUCUGGCAGGACCUGGAUGUUCAUCUUUUCUCCGGUGUCGGUGUGCAGCUCGCCGAAGGCCUUGUGCUCUCACCGCACGGAGGAAGUAUCCGUGGCGGAGGUGAAGCUCGCGCAGCAGUGGACCGUGACGACGAUGGGAGUCCCGCUAGCGUGGAAAGGCAAACUCUGCAUAAAUGAUUAUUUUCUCCACGAACUACAGUGGACUCCACCGCAUUCAUCGGCUAGAGAGGCUAGUAUUACGCAACAGUUGGAGUGACGUCUCAGGAAAGAUUUUCGGCCACUUCGAUGGAUAGGCUGUCCAGUGUUGUGCCUGGCUGUCAGCCUAAAAGAUGACCUGUGACUGGAGAUGGAUUGCCAUGCUGGCCUAGAUCAGCUCUACGGUGCUCUGGUUGUCUCGACAGGGGCAUAUUUGUCCUCCAAAACCACAGCAGUUCUGAUAACCUCUGACACCAACCCACAUGACAUGGAGCACCAUCAUUCUGUCAUAAGGAAGCGUCCCUUCCUUUUAGAUGCAGAUCCUAGUGACCUAGGUCUACCAACACCCAGGCCGGCAUUUACUGCUGCCUUACCCUUAUUUCUGAAUCCCAUUCUAACUGCUCACGGCAAAGCAAUCUCUUCCCUCCCUUCUGGCCUCUAUCAAUCAUCCCUACCAGGCCCCAUCCCUUCCUACAUGCCUGUCUGCCUGCCUCCAUGCCUGCAUGUCUCUGUGUGCCAGCAUCCGUCCAUCCAUCUGCCUACCCGCCUGCCUCCUUCCCUUCCUCUCCCUCUCUUCCUUCCCUCCAUCUUCCCUCUGCCCCGGGGCCUCUUCUCUCCAUGGGCCAGCUAGAUCCUGAUCUCAGAUCAGAUGAGGUUGAUGAGACGUGAAAUGUCUCUCACAACAGUCCAGAAAGGCUGCAGCCUCCUCUAGGACCACAGCCAGCCAGGGACCCCUAUGCUCUCUGUCCACACCGCUCUCCAUCUUCCAGGCCUGCCCUGCCAUCGGAGAACCACCCCAUCUCUUAACCCUGGAAAGAGCAGAGGCAGGUCCAACUCUGCCUGGCCAUUCAGGCUCAGUCCAAGUGACUCAGGCAAAAGAGUGGAGAAAUGUUGUUUGAGCUAGGAUGAGUAGGUCACUUCACUUUAGACUGUUUUCAAUAUGUUUUUGAGAUUAAAUGAAAUGAGCGGUUUCUUAAGUACCAUGUUCUUAUGUUUCAUAUUGUACUGAAUGCAUUGCCAAAGUUAUAUGGCAUUCAAGUUGAUUUCCAUGCACUUGUAAUAUGAACUUAGGCUUCAGCACUUGUUUCUUUACAGAUUUAGCCCACAUUAAAAAAUACUAAAGUUUGCUAUGGAAUACUACAGUACUUACUAUAGAAUUAUGUAGUAAACUGUAGUAUAAUGUAGAAUACUAUCCUACACACUAAUAUCCCUCGAUCAUGUGAACAACUUAGUAUAGAAUUUUGCAGUAUACUGUAGAAUACUAUCGUAAAUACUACAGUAUUAUCCCCCAAAAACAUUGUAUUAAAUACUACAGAAAUGUCUGCAAAAACACUAUAGUCCGCAAAGGUAUAAUUGAGCCCCCUAUGAAUUUACCUGACACCCCUGUGCACUCCUUCACCAGGUUCUCCUUUUCAUCCUUCUCUGUUUCAGAAGUGUGUAAAGCCCUGAAAGAAAUGGAUUUUUAAAAAAUCCCCUGGCCCUGAUAAACUAGGCCCCUGCCUCCUACACCUAGCUGCAGACAUCAUUGCUCCCCCUUAACAUGUAUUUUUAACCUGCUUGAUGUUAAGGAAAUCCCCAAGUUAUGGAAAUCUGCUUUUGUACUGCCUAUUGACAACUAUCGACCCAUAUCAAAAUUGUCUGUACUGUCAAAUGUACUGGAUUCCUUAGUUAGUAGGCAGCUAAAGACCUACUUCCAAGAAAACAACAUCUUAAAUGGAAUGCAAUCAGGUUUUAGGUCUGGCCACAGCACUGUUUCAGCAACAUUGAAGGUUUUAAAUUACAUCAACUGUGCUCUUGAUAAGAAGUUACAAUGUGUGUCUGUUUUUAUUGUUUUGUCGAAGGCUUUUGACACCGUGGACCAUGCUGUGUUAGUGCCAAGGUUAAAAUGUUAUGGAAUUACUGGUCAUGCUCUAGAUUGGUUGAUAAAUUACCUAUCAAAUUGUACACAUUGUGUAAUGGCGGAUGGUUGUAAAUCUGAGUCCAUAGAGGCGUGCUCAGGUGUUCCGCAUGGUUCUAUUUUGGGCCCACUGUUGUUCAUUUUUUAUAUCAACAACAUUGGGGAUCUUAUUGAAACAGCAGAUGUUCAUUUUUAUACGAUACUGUUCUUUAUUCAAGAGGUAGUAGUUUAUAUUUAGCUUGUGAAAAUGCCCAAAGAGCAUUUAACAUCAUGCAACAGAAUCUGUGUGAUUUAAAGCUAAUUCUAAAUUCGGGUAAAACAAAAUGCAUGGUAUUUUCAAAUGCCAGGCAUGUUAAAAAUCAUGUCAUUGCUACAUUGGCUGGACAUACUAUAGUGCAAGUUAAAGUGUACAAAUAUUUGGGUGUGUGGGUUGAUGACAAGCUGAGCUUCACUGUGCAUGUAGAGAACUGGAUAAUGAAGCUCAAGCUGAAAAAAUGAUUUUAUUACAGGCAUAAGGCUUGUUUUUCUUUUGAGGCCAGGAAGGAGCUGGUACGAUGUACAUUACUGUCGGUUUUAGAUUUUAGUGAUGUUAUAUAUACAGUAUAUAUGCAGGCCUCAGCCACUACCCUGAGAUCACUUGGUUCAGUAUAUCAUGCAGCCUUCAGGUUCAUUACAAAUCAGAAAUGUCUAACACAUCAUUGUGAUCUCUACAGCGCUAUUGGCUGGUCGUCAUUGACCUUGUGUAGGCUUAAACACUGGU